rnacentral:rRNA from 1 species
UACAGAGGUCCCAAGCGUUGUUCGGAUUCAUUGGGCGUAAAGGGUGCGUAGGCGGCGCCGUAAGUCGGGUGUGAAAUUUCGGAGCUUAACUCCGAAACUGCAUUCGAUACUACGGUGCUUGAGGACUGGAGAGGAGACUGGAAUUCAUGGUGUAGCAGUGAAAUGCGUAGAGAUCAUGAGGAAGACCAGUGGCGAAGGCGGGUCUCUGGACAGUUCCUGACACUGAGGCACGAAGGCCAGGGGAGCAAACGGG